UGGGUAACCUACCUAUAAGACUGGGACAACUUCGGGAAACCGGAGCUAAUACCGGAUAAGAUAUCGAACCGCAUGGUUCGAUAGUGAAAGAUGGUUUUGCUAUCACUUAUAGAUGGACCCGCGCCGUAUUAGCUAGUUGGUGAGGUAACGGCUCACCAAGGCAACGAUACGUAGCCGACCUGAGAGGGUGAUCGGCCACACUGGAACUGAGACACGGUCCAGACUCCUACGGGAGGCAGCAGCA
rnacentral:rRNA from 1 species